rnacentral:miRNA from 1 species
AUGGUCACAGUGGACAUCAACCCAUCUGACUAGACUCUAGGGCUGGCGCCAACUGUGGCCACUG